UCGAGCGGAUGAAGGUAGCUUGCUACCGGAUUCAGCGGCGGACGGGUGAGUAAUGCCUAGGAAUCUGCCCGGUAAUGGGGGAUAACGUUUCGAAAGGAACGCUAAUACCGCAUACGUCCUACGGGAGAAAGCAGGGGACCUUCGGGCCUUGCGUUAUCGGAUGAGCCUAGGUCGGAUUAGCUAGUUGGUGAGGUAAUGGCUCACCAAGGCGACGAUCCGUAACUGGUCUGAGAGGAUGAUCAGUCACACUGGAACUGAGACACGGUCCAGACUCCUACGGGAGGCAGCAGUGGGGAAUAUUGGACAAUGGGCGAAAGCCUGAUCCAGCCAUGCCGCGUGUGUGAAGAAGGUCUUCGGAUUGUAAAGCACUUUAAGUUGGGAGGAAGGGCAGUCAGUUAAUACCUUGCUGUCUUGACGUUACCAACAGAAUAAGCACCGGCUAACUUCGUGCCAGCAGCCGCGGUAAUACGAAGGGUGCAAGCGUUAAUCGGAAUUACUGGGCGUAAAGCGCGCGUAGGUGGUUCAGCAAGUUGGAUGUGAAAGCCCCGGGCUCAACCUGGGAACUGCAUCCAAAACUACUGAGCUAGAGUACGGUAGAGGGUGGUGGAAUUUCCUGUGUAGCGGUGAAAUGCGUAGAUAUAGGAAGGAACACCAGUGGCGAAGGCGACCACCUGGACUGAUACUGACACUGAGGUGCGAAAGCGUGGGGAGCAAACAGGAUUAGAUACCCUGGUAGUCCACGCCGUAAACGAUGUCAACUAGUUGUUGGGUUCCUUGAGAACUUAGUAACGAAGCUAACGCGAUAAGUUGACCGCCUGGGGAGUACGGCCGCAAGGUUAAAACUCAAAUGAAUUGACGGGGGCCCGCACAAGCGGUGGAGCAUGUGGGUUUAAUUCGAAGCAACGCG
rnacentral:rRNA from 1 species